rnacentral:rRNA from 1 species
AGACGGAGGGCGCGAGCGUUGUCCGGAAUCACUGGGCGUAAAGCGCGCGCAGGCGGAUGAGGAAGUCAGGGGUGAAAGACCGGGGCUCAACCCCGGGGUUGCCUCUGAUACUCCUUGUCUAGGGACCGGUAGAGGCCGGUGGAAUUCCCGGUGUAGCGGUGGAAUGCGUAGAGAUCGGGAAGAACACCAGUGGCGAAGGCGGCCGGCUGGGCCGGUGAUCCCUUAGGGGAUCGAUCCGACGCUGAGGCGCGAAAGCGUGGGGAGCAAACAGGAUUAGAUACCCUGGUAGUCCACGCCGUAAACGAUGGGCGCUAGGUGCUGGGGGGAGCGACUCCCUCGGUGCCGCAGCUAACGCGAUAAGCGCCCCGCCUGGGGAGUACGGCCGCAAGGCUGAA